rnacentral:rRNA from 1 species
CCCUUAGAUGUUCUGGGCCGCACGCGCGCUACACUGACGAAUGCAACGAGCUUAUAACCUUGGCCGAAAGGUCUGGGUAAUCUCCAAAUUUCGUCGUGAUGGGGAUAGAUUAUUGCAAUUAUUAAUCUUCAACGAGGAAUUCCUAGUAAGCGCGAGUCAUCAGCUCGCGUUGAUUGCGUCCCUGCCCUUUGUACACACCGCCCGUCGCUCCUACCGAUUGAAUGGUCCGGUGAAAUGUUCGGACCGCGACAAGGCGGACGGUUCGCUGUCAGCUUUGCUGCGGGAAGUUCAUUAAACCUUAUCAUUUAGAGGAAGGAGAAGUCGUAACA